CGGCAGACAGUUACCGUUUCUAGUCUGGCUUGUGGGACUCUAGAGGGAGUCAGUCUGCAACAAUAACUGGUGAGUUCUUUUCUCCAGUGUCAGUAUUUUGAUGGUGGCUCUAGACUUGCCAGAUAACA
ensembl:snoRNA SNORA56 small nucleolar RNA, H/ACA box 56